rnacentral:rRNA from 1 species
UACGGGGGGGCAAGCGUUGUUCGGAAUUACUGGGCGUAAAGGGCUCGUAGGCGGCCAACUAAGUCAGACGUGAAAUCCCUCGGCUUAACCGGGGAACUGCGUCUGAUACUGGAUGGCUUGAAUCCGGGAGAGGGAUGCGGAAUUCCAGGUGUAGCGGUGAAAUGCGUAGAUAUCAGGAGGAACACCGGUGGUGUAGACGGCUCACUGGACCGUAACUGACGCUGAGACACGAAAGCGUGGGUAGCAAACAGG